GCGCUCGUUGUAUAGAAAUAGAAAGAUUGCCUUUCUUUGUAAAAUGGUAGUAUUCUGGCCUUCCAAGCCAGCGACCCGGGUUCGAAUCCCGGCGGGCGCA
rnacentral:tRNA from 1 species